GGUGCGCCUAAUACAUGCAAGUCGAACGAGAAACUUGGAUUUAUUCAAGUGGAAAGUGGCUGACGAGCGAGUAACACGUAAGAACCUGCCCUAUACUCAGGGAUAACCUGCCGAAAGGUGGGCUAAUACCGGAUAGUCUCGAAAGAGUAAAGCUUUUGCGGUAUAGGAGGGGCUUGCGGCCUAUCAGCUAGUUGGUGAGGUAAAGGCUUACCAAGGCUACGACAGGUAACUGGUGUGAGAGCAUGACCAGUCGCGAUGGAACUGAGACACGGUCCAUACUCCUACGGGAGGCAGCAGUAAGGAAUCUUCCGCAAUGGGCGAAAGCCUGACGGAGCGACACCGCGUGAAGGAUGAAGCAUUUCGGUGUGUAAACUUCUUUUAUGAGGGAAGAAAAUCUGACGGUACCUCAUGAAUAAGCCCCGGCUAAUUACGUGCCAGCAGCCGCGGUAAUACGUAAGGGGCAAGCGUUAUCCGGAAUUACUGGGCGUAAAGCGUCCGCAGGUGGUGUAGUAAGUCUGUCAUUAAAUACCAGAGCUCAACAUUGGUGCCGUGAUGGAAACUAUUACGCUAGAGGAUGGGAGAGGUAUGUGGAAUUCUACAAGUAGGGGUAAAAUCCGUAGAUAUGUAGAGGAACACCAAAAGCGAAGGCAGCAUACUGGACCAUUCCUGACACUCAUGGACGAAAGCGUGGGGAGCGAAACGGAUUAGAUACCCGUGUAGUCCACGCCGUAAACGAUGCGUGCUCGGUGUUGGUUCCCUAGACCUGGAAUCAGUGCCUAAGAUAACUCGUUAAGCACGCCGCCUGUGUAGUACGAUCGCAAGAUUAAAACACAAAGGAAUAGACGGGGACCCACACAAGCGGUGGAUCGCGGGGUUUAAUUCGUUAUUAAGCGAGAAAUCUCACCCAGACUUGACAUCCCUAUCAUGCCUCUUAGAGAUAAGAGGGUCGGUUCGGCCGGAUAGGUGACAGGCGCUGCAUGGUUGUCGUCAGCUCGUGCCUUGAGGUGUUCGGUUAAGUCCGUGAACGAGCGCAACCCUCAUCCUAUGUUGUACUUUCAUAGGAGACUGCCCUGCAUAACGGGGAGGAAGGAGGAUGACGUCAAAUCAGCAUGGCCCUUAUGUCUGGGGCUACACCCACGAUACAAUGGCUCGUACAAACUGAAGCGAAGGGGCAACCCUCAGCCAAUCGGAUAAAACGAGUCUCAGUCCGGAUUGAGGUCUGGAACUCGACCUCAUGAAGCCGGAAUCGCUAGUAACCGUGUAUCAGCUAUGGCACGGUGAAUAUGUUCCUGGGUCUUGUACUCACUGCCCGUCAAGGCAUGGGAGUCAGGGGCACUCGAAGUCUUUUCAAUUAGAGAGGCCUAAGGUGAAACUGAUGACUGGGCUUAAGUCGUAACAUGGUA
rnacentral:rRNA from 1 species